rnacentral:rRNA from 1 species
GACGAACGCUGGCGGCGUGCUUAACACAUGCAAGUCGAACGAAGUGGCGAACGGGUGAGUAACGCGUAAUCAACCUGCCCUUCAGAGGGGGACAACAGUUGGAAACGACUGCUAAUACCGCCUACUGAAGGUGGGGAUUGCGUCUGAUUAGCUAGUUGGCGGGGUAACGGCCCACCAAGGCGAUGAUCAGUAGCCGGUCUGAGAGGAGGAAGGGCCACAUUGGGACUGGGACACGGCCCAGACUCCGACGGGAGGCAGCGGUGGGGAAUCUUCCGCAAUGGACGAAAGUCUGACGGGGCAACGCCGCGUGAGUUAUGACGGCGUUCGGGUUGUAAAGCGCUGUUAAUCGGGACGCGGUACCGGAGUAGAAAGCCACGGCUAACUACGUGCCAGCAGCCGCGGUAAUAC